rnacentral:rRNA from 1 species
GACGAACGCUGGCGGCGUGCUUAACACAUGCAAGUCGAACGGAAAGGCCCUGCUUUUGUGGGGUGCUCGAGUGGCGAACGGGUGAGUAACACGUGAGUAACCUGCCCUUGACUUUGGGAUAACUUCAGGAAACUGGGGCUAAUACCGGAUAGGAGCUCCUGCUGCAUGGUGGGGGUUGGAAAGUUUCGGCGGUCGGGGAUGGACUCGCGGCUUAUCAGCUUGUUGGUGGGGUAGUGGCUUACCAAGGCUUUGACGGGUAGCCGGCCUGAGAGGGUGACCGGCCACAUGGGGACUGGGAUACGGCCCAGACUCCUACGGGAGGCAGCGGUGGGGAUUAUUGCACAAGGGCGGAAGCCUGAUGCAGCAACGCCGCGUGCGGGAUGACGGCCUUCGGGUUGUAAACCGCUUUCGCCUGUGACGAAGCGUGAGUGACGGUAAUGGGUAAAGAAGCACCGGCUAACUACGUG